UACGUAGGGGGCAAGCGUUUGUCCGGAAUCAUUGGGCGUAAAGAGCUCGUAGGCGGUUUGUCGCGUCUGCCGUGAAAAUCCGGGGCUCAACCCCGGACUUGCAGUGGGUACGGGCAGACUAGAGUGUGGUAGGGGAGACUGGAAUUCCUGGUGUAGCGGUGAAAUGCGCAGAUAUCAGGAGGAACACCGAUGGCGAAGGCAGUGUUCUGGGCCAGUACUGACGCUGAGGCGCGAAAGCUAGGGGAGCAAACAGG
rnacentral:rRNA from 1 species